rnacentral:rRNA from 1 species
AAUUCGAUGCAACGCGAAGAACCUUACUACCCUUGACAUGUCCGGAACUUGCCAGAGAUGGCUUGGUGCCCGAAAGGGAAUCGGAACACAGGUGCUGCAUGGCUGUCGUCAGCUCGUGUCGUGAGAUGUUGGGUUAAGUCCCGCAACGAGCGCAACCCUUAUCAUUAGUUGCUACGCAAGGGCACUCUAAUGAGACUGCCGGUGACAAACCGGAGGAAGGUGGGGAUGACGUCAAGUCAGCAUGGCCUUUAUGUCCAGGGCCACACACGUGCUACAAUGGACGGUACAGAGGGAUGCAAUGCCGCAAGGUGGAGCCAAUCCUCAAAACCGUUACUCAGUUCGGAUUGCAGGCUGCAAUUCGCCUGCAUGAAGCUGGAAUUGCUAGUAAUCGCAGAUCAGCUACGCUGCGGUGAAUACGUUCUCGGGCCUU